GGGCUUGUACUGGUUUCGACGGGGGUUUAGAAGUUGAGAAAGCCAUCCGCGGGGCGGGACCGCGUAUCAAUCCGCAAUUAAAUUUAAACGCAGACGAAAAUUUAGCGUACGCUGCCUAGUGGCAGCAGUCGACUUUAGGUCACUCACUGCUUAAAGACUCGGCUUCAAACUUGUGAGGCACUUCGUUUCCAAAGCUUUGAGGAAAUGGAAGAAAUAUGAAGCUACUUAAUCUAUUAGCCUGUCAUUAGGCGAAUAGAGGAGGGAAUGUCAAAAUAAUGACUGUGAUGGGAGAUGUCUUAAUGGAAGAGCUUUCGGACAGGGGUUCGAUUCCCCUCAGGUCCAUCU
rnacentral:tmRNA from 1 species